GUUAUCCCUUAUUCAUGAUUGCUUUGAAUAAUCAUUGGCAAGCACUGAAUAUCCGAUAUGAUUAUUCCCAUGGCUUUUAUGUCCAGUUAUAUUGCAUACCCAGCAGGCCCCAAUGUGUCCGACGGUAUGACGGCCCGAGGCACCGAGUGUCCAAUGCCAGAAAACCCGCUUAUCUGGUCUAGACAGUUCUGUUAAAGGUUACUUUAGGCACCGAAAUAAAUUAAGAAAGUUGACUAUCGAC
rnacentral:misc_RNA from 1 species